rnacentral:tRNA from 1 species
AAGAUUUUAAGUUAUAUACUCUAAACUCUAAACUUUCAAAGUUUAAUAAAUAAUUUUUUUAUAAAUCUUA